rnacentral:rRNA from 1 species
GUUGUAGUUCAACGCCCGUAGUAAACCAAAGGGUUAUAGUUAUUGAUCUGACCAGUACUGUUCGUAACGUCAGCCACGUAUUGUGGGUGAUAGGACGAAUAAGGACAGGUCCUCGGUCUCUAACGGAAGCUAAGGUUUCCUUAGCAUCCGCCAUGGGAUAGGUCAAUGAUUAUGGCUCGCUCCCUGCCAGUCCGUAAGGUCUGGUAGGGCCAUUUGGCACAACCGUAAACAAAUCAGAGUGCUCCAAGCAGGCAAUGUUAGGGGUAACCCAUUUGCUUGAAUGAUUUAGCAUGGAAUUGUCACGAAGCCGAUCGGAAACUUUGAGGGUUUACCUGAGAAGUGGAAGAUCCGGCGCUCGCAAUGAGACACUGGUAGAGGAUCCAAGUACUAUGGCGCGAGAGGUGAAAUUCAGUGACCGCCAUAUGACUAUCUAAUGCGAAAGCAGUUGUGAUCCAGAACGUGUCUGUCAAUCAGGGACGAAAGUUAAGGGAUCGAAGAUGAUUAGAUACCGUCGUAGUCUUAACCGUAAACGAUACCAACACGAGAUUGGUAGUGAGACUUUUAGAUCCUAUCAGAAUCCAAGGGAAACCGUUAAGUUUUUGGGUUCUGGGGGGGAGUAUGGUCGCAAGGCUGAAACUUAAAGGAAUUGACGGAAAGGCACCACCAGGAGUGGAGU